GAUAAUAUACAAUCAGAGAGGGUAAAACAUAAAGAACGGACUAUCUGUGAUUUCAAGAUAGUGAAAAUUCACACAAGAAUAUCUAUAUACUUAUUUACCUUAUGAGUCUAUACCCAACAGGAAAAUAAAAGUGCUAGUAGAUAGUGGGAUAAAUUUAAAGGAUAAUAUAAUAUAAACUCAAAAAUUAGGUGAACUAUGUUCUAAAACAAAUUGCAGCACCAUCAGGGUUAACAUAAAGAUAUGUCAUCAAACAAAUAUACACUCUUCAGUUUUUAGAGCAACAUGACCAA